rnacentral:rRNA from 1 species
UACAGAGGGUGCAAGCGUUAAUCGGAAUUACUGGGCGUAAAGCGUGCGUAGACGGUUAUUUAAGUCGGGUGUGAAAGCCCCGGGCUCAACCUGGGAAUUGCAUUCGAGACUGAAUAGCUAGGGUGCGGAGGAGGGGAGCGGAAUUUCCGGUGUAGCGGUGAAAUGCGUAGAUAUCGGAAGGAACACCAGUGGCGAAAGCGGCUUCCUGGUCCAGCACCGACGUUCAGGCACGAAAGCGUGGGGAGCAAACAGG